AUGUCACAACAUCUAAGACCAAUGCUCCAGGAGGAUUUCCAAUAUGCUAAAAUAUUCCCAUGUACCUUGAACAUGUGCUGCCUUGCCUUCAAAUCUGGUAGGGGGAUGUAUAUUCUUUUGUCAAAUCUCCGCCUAAUAGCCUGAGGAAAGCUACUUGCUAGUCAGGAACGAAGAAAUAACUAACAAAACAUGAAGCUAAAGAGUGUUGAAAGACCCUUCUAACCUGGUCUAAUGAGUAGGGAGUGUUUGUCGCUGCAAGAACAAGAACUUUUUUGUCAUCAUCGUGCCCUACACCCUAGAAGGCAUUGAAGAUAGUCAGCAUAAAGCAAUACACGAAGUACUUUGCAAUUUAGAAGGAAGCAAUAGAAGAAAAUAGAAAUAGAGAUGCAUGUAAAAGUUCGCUGCAGGUAAUACCAGAUUCCCCCAGGAAAUUUCCAUGAAUCGCUUGAUGUUCUCCACAGAUAAGAUUUAACUAAAUAGAAAAAGUAGGAAGGACCUAAAAAUCAUUUUGAUAUAUGUCACAACAAUUAAACAUAGGGGAGCCCCAACAUCAGAACUUAUCCUUUCCAGAGACAUUCUAAAAUCUUGCAGUAAAUGUUCAACCAACCUGGGAGUUUCCUUUUUUGCCCUCAAUAUACCUUUUUUAUUUAUUUUUUUAAAUAUGUCUGGUUCUUAUUGAAUAAUGUCCACAAAAGUAUUCUGGAAGUGUCCAUUUCUAGUUAUCUGAAAAUUUUCCUAGUACCAUCUUAGAUAAACACAUUUUUGCAAGCUGUGAGUGUUGACAGGAAUACAGAGAACAUAACUGUAUGAAAUGUUCAUUAUAGGGUUUAAAAUACCGAAAAUGCACUGCAAACAAGGGCAGGAAUAGAAUGAAAAAGCUUUAUGUUGCAUGAUGGCUUAGAAAAGGUCUAAGAACAAAAGAGGCUUGAAUUUUUUUGAAAACUACGCCUAUUCUCAGAACUGAAAAGCAUAGGCAAGAGGAAAAGAAGCUGAAGGAAUUGCUUCUUUGUAAUUGUAUUCUAAGCCAAAGGAAGCACCAAAAACUCUGAGAUCUCUUAACCCCGGCACAAUUGCUUAAAAACUCUGAACUUUACAAAAAUAAAAAAUAAAGACUCAAAGCCCUGUCCUAUUGAAUAAAGUUUUUCUCAAAUCCCAAACCAAACUAGGACAUAAUGUCAAAUAUCUAACAACUAUCCUAUGUAACUCCAAGCAAAACAUCUAUGAUUAGUUUGAUUAGGAAUAAAUUCUG
rnacentral:lncRNA from 1 species